AAGAAUACAUAAACUAGAAAACGCAAACAAUCCCUUCCAUUGACGACAAAAGUGAUAAUUUCUUCACAUCAUAUAUAAUCUGCGGACUACAAGAGUGCUCAUCAUUUAGUUUUAAUCCGUUAAUAUUACCAGUCCAAAAUGUUGAAAAUUAUUUGUAUACUUGCGCUAACAAUUUCCAGUGUUAUUAGCAUUCCUGUAGAAACGACUACAGGGUCUAAGGGUUUGGAAAGACCUUCUCCCAUCAACCCGGAUGUAAUAAGUGAGCCAAAACCAAAAGAAGCUUCCACCAGCACUCCUGAUUUAGCUUCAUCUACGCCAGCAAGUCACAUACAAAAAAUUCCAGCUAAAGGAGCUAAGUUAAGUUCUGAAGUGGACCAACAGAAGCAGACUCUCAAAAGAGAUUCAAUCAAAGAAGACCAACUCACAAGAACUACGACGAGCAAAUCUUCAAAAACUGAGAGUCCAUCUACUGCUUCCACACCUGAAUCCCAUAAAUUUUCUGAUGAUACAACGAAGAAAGUGAGGCGUGAAGUCGAAUCUUCUGAAACUUCAACAAACCGCUCAACAACUACUACUCGUGCUCCAAUUCUAAGCAAUGCCGACGAGAAUGAUAACACACCUCCACACUUUAUCCGACCGGUACCAGUCGAUCAGAUCUUGAAGAAUAUUCACGACGCACCAAAGCAUCACGAACCAUCUCAGGUGGUCUCACUACAUGAUCAUGUGACUUCCAUUGCUCCAACUACUAUUGCGCCAACGGACAGUGAGGAUGUGCCCAAGAGCAGUGGCGAUCAUAAGCUCCAUCACGCAUAUAAAAAUAAAAAGAAUGAUGAUCAAUCUUCUGAAGAGGAUUCAACUUCAGGAGAAGAUGAAAAAGAUCAGUAACUUUUGUAUCCCUUAAACAACCAUGUGAAUAUGUGAUAUAUCUUGAAUGAAAAAUUAAAAUAAUGUUCUGUUUUGUACAAAAAAUGUUUAAUUCUCUCAAUUAUAGAACUUUAUUUCAUUAUAAAUAUUUUCACAACGCAAUAAAUCAUCAAAUAUGUUCAAUGCCAAAAGUUCACAUGACAGGUUGUCUACCAGUUCAAAAAUUAAUAAAUAAAAGUCAGGCGUGAAUAGUUAACUAUGUCAAAUCUAA